rnacentral:rRNA from 1 species
UACGAAGGGGGCGAGCGUUGUUCGGAUUUACUGGGCGUAAAGGGCGCGCAGGCGGCUCAUUUUGUCAGGCGUGAAAGCCCCGGGCUUAACCUGGGAACUGCGUUUGAUACGGAUGGGCUAGAGUUCGGGAGAGGAGAGUGGAAUUCCCAGUGUAGAGGUGAAAUGUGUAGAGAUCGGGAGGAACACCGGUGGCGAAGGCGGGUCUCUGGGCAAUUCCUGACGCUGAGGCGCGAAAGCGUGGGGAGCAAACGGG